CCUACGGGUGGCAGCAGUCGAGAAUUUUUCUCAAUGGGGGAAACCCUGAAGGAGCGACGCCGCGUGGAGGAUGAAGGUCUUCGGAUUGUAAACUCCUGUCAUGAGGGAGUAAGACAUCGCGUUAACUGCGUGGGUGUUUGAUAGUACCUCAAGAGGAAGAGACGGCUAACUCUGUGCCAGCAGCCGCGGUAAUACAGAGGUCUCGAGCGUUGUUCGGAUUCAUUGGGCGUAAAGGGUGCGUAGGCGGUUGGGUAAGUCAGACGUGAAAUUCCAGGGCUCAACCCUGAAACUGCGUUUGAUACUGCCUGACUAGAGUACUGGAGAGGAGACUGGAAUUCACGGUGUAGCAGUGAAAUGCGUAGAUAUCGUGAGGAAGACCAGUGGCGAAGGCGAGUCUCUGGACAGUAACUGACGCUGAGGCACGAAGGCCAGGGGAGCAAACGGGAUUAGAUACCCUUGUAGUC
rnacentral:rRNA from 1 species